rnacentral:rRNA from 1 species
AUUGAACGCUGGCGGCAUGCUUUACACAUGCAAGUCGAACGAGUGGCGAACGGGUGAGUAAUAUAUCGGAACGUACCGAGUAAUGGGGGAUAACCAAUCGAAAGAUUGGCUAAUACCGCAUAUUAUUCGAGCAGCCGAUAACUUAUUCGCUAGUUGGGGGGGUAAAGGACUACCAAGGCGAAGAUCAGUAGAGGGUCUGAGAGGCAGAUCCGCCACACUGGGACUGAGACACGGCCCAGACUCCUACGGGAGGCAGCAGAGGGGAAUGUUGGACAAUGGAGGCAACCCUGAUCCAGCGAUGCCGCGUGUGUGAAGAAGGCCUUCGGGUUGUAAAGUAUUUUUGUUAGGGGAGCGGUACCUAAAUAGUAAGCACCGGAUAACUACGUGCCAGCAGCCGCGGUAAUAC